UGAGGAAUAUUGGGCAAUGCCCGCAAGGGUGACCCAGCAACGCCGCGUGGAGGAUGAAUGUCGUAAGAUUGUAAACUCCUGUUAGAGGGGAAGAAUAGUACCGGUUGGACCGGUAUAUGACUGUACCCUCAGAGAAAGCCCCGGCUAACUACGUGCCAGCAGCCGCGGUAAUACGUAGGGGGCAAGCGUUGUCCGGAUUUACUGGGCGUAAAGGGCGCGCAGGCGGGAUAAAAAGUCAGUGGUGAAAUCCUACAGCUUAACUGUAGAACUGCCUUUGAUACUUUUAUUCUUGAGUUCGGGAGAGAGAGACGGAAUUCCAGGUGUAGUGGUGAAAUACGUAGAUAUCUGGAAGAACACCAGUUGCGAAGGCGGUCUCUUGGUCCGACACUGACGCUGAGGCGCGAAAGCGUGGGGAGCAAACA
rnacentral:rRNA from 1 species